AAAAUUAACAAGGUCUCCGUUGGUGAACCAGCGGAGGGAUCAUUACCGAGUUUACAACUCCCAAACCCCUGUGAACAUACCUAUACGUUGCCUCGGCGGAUCAGCCCGCGCCCCGUAAAACGGGACGGCCCGCCCGAGGACCCUAAACUCUGUUUUUAGUGGAACUUCUGAGUAAAACAAACAAAUAAAUCAAAACUUUCAACAACGGAUCUCUUGGUUCUGGCAUCGAUGAAGAACGCAGCAAAAUGCGAUAAGUAAUGUGAAUUGCAGAAUUCAGUGAAUCAUCGAAUCUUUGAACGCACAUUGCGCCCGCCAGUAUUCUGGCGGGCAUGCCUGUUCGAGCGUCAUUUCAACCCUCAAGCUCAGCUUGGUGUUGGGACUCGCGGUAACCCGCGUUCCCCAAAUCGAUUGGCGGUCACGUCGAGCUUCCAUAGCGUAGUAAUCAUACACCUCGUUACUGGUAAUCGUCGCGGCCACGCCGUUAAACCCCAACUUCUGAAUGUUGACCUCGGAUCAGGUAGGAAUACCCGCUGAACUUAAGCAUAUCAAAG
rnacentral:rRNA from 1 species